CUUUUGCCUUUUGGUAGGCCGUCAUUGUAAAUAAGAAUUUGUUCUUAACUGACUUGCCUAGUUAAAUAAAUAAAUUAAAUGGAGAACCUAAGAAUGCAGAUUGAAGGUCAGUUGUUUCCACAAGAUGGCACUGUCUGCCAUGGACAUGGUCCUCAAAUGAAGGGUAUUCAGUUAUGAGCAAUGGCGUCAUUGUCAUUUUAAUUAUGCCUUGCAUGAUGAUAACAUUUUUAAGUCAAAUUUACAUCAUUAUGGUGGCAAGUUACUCUGAUGUUUGAAUUAUGAACACACAAUGCCACUCUGUUCAUUUAGGUGGUUUAAUGAAAUCCCUCAUAGUAAGCAUCGUUACUAAUUUUGCUCGGAAUUCAAAGUUACCAUGGUGCUUGUGUUAAUUAGCUCCAUAUUAAGUGGUGCAGUCUGAACUCUAGAUGAAAGAUGGAGCAGAGAGGACCCAGAGCACAGAGCAUCCCCUGAGCGGAGCAUAGAGGACCCAGAGCACAGAGCAUCCCCUGAGCGGAGCAUAGAGGACCCAGAGCACAGAGCAUCCCCUGAGCGGAGCAUAGAGGAGUUUCUUACCAGGGGGGAGAAGAGGAGAGCCACCCUCAGCAGUGGAAGUGUUUUGAAAGAGGAAGAUGAUGACGAUCAACCAGAGAAUGAUAUACCACCACAUUUCCUCACAAUUCCUGACCUCCCUCCCUCACUUCUGCCCCCUCCCCCUAGUGGAUCGAAAGUCUGGCUGAACUGAAUGGGGUUAACUAAAGGAGAUUCACCAUUUUAUUUCUCAAAAGUUCCAUUUGGUGAUGCAAGAAUUGAUCAUUUAUUUUUAUUAAGCCUCAAACUUUUACUUGAUGAAGGUGAGGGUAUUUUUUUUAAUCUUCAUAUUUGAAUUGAGUUUCUUCAUUAGUCUACAUUAGUCUUAUGAGUUAUUUGCAUGCAGACUUGUUGAGGAAGUCCUUGGAUUUAAGAAAAUGGAUUAUGAAUUAUACAUUUGCAGAAUGUGAGGUUGUAAUGCUUUUGAAAUGAUGACCUCAGGAAAGCAGAGGUACUGGAGUGGCAACCACAUUUAGAAAAAAACUAUAUGUGCUUUCUUUCCCUCCACCUAUUCUUUAUGAUGAAAAAGUGGUUUGUGUAUUUUGGGAAGAUUUAUUUUGAGUGGAUGGAUGUUACAACUUUACCUCAUCACUGAUGUUGGCCACAUGCACAAAAGAUGGUGUCCAUAUUUGUAAAAACAUAUUUUUUGUGUCCCUAUCUUCAGGUAAUAAAAUAGUGUUUCCCCACGUUUCAUUUGUAGGGGAUAAUAGAACAAGUGCUAUUCAGGACCUUACUUCAGUGUGUAAUUGGAGCCCUGUCAGUAUGUGCCACACAACUGAGGGCCAGAUCAGACCGUGCCUUGGCAGGAUGUCACAUCACCAUGUGACGGCGACCCUUUGCCGGCAUCAUCUGCCGCUCCUGUGACACUGACACAGAUUAAAACCCAAACCGCUACACCCUAGAAUAACAUUUUCAAUUUGUUUCAGAUUGGCUCUGAGGGAGAUGCCAGGACAGGGAUACUUUGCUGGUUGGUUGACCAGCAGUGACCUUAGCCACCUCCAAUGAGAAGUUGCUGUGCUGAAUACUGAGUCCAUUCCCUGCUGAAAUGUGACACAUUAACAACUGUCUCUCUAGGCUCCGCAAGAGAAUUACAAGCAGAGUCCCAAUGUACGAGUGGCACAGCGGUCUAAGGCAAUGAAUCUCAGUGCAAGAGUUGUCACUACAGUCCUUGGUUCGAAUCCAGGCUGUAUCACCUCUGGCC